rfam:Desulfotomaculum ruminis DSM 2154, complete genome.
UAACUUAAGCAGAAGCAUCCGCUUCUCACCUUACGCCCAAGGCUAGUAGGGUUCGAUAGUAUACAAUAAGCUGUCUUAUUGUAGUGUGUCUGAUUUUUAGCGGGUGUAUGCCCGCUUUUAUUAUUGCAC